AAGUCUUUAAAUCAGCUCUGUCGUGGAAUAUAACAGGAAGAUUAAAAGAAAAAUCAAUCAACUACAACUAGUAUCUAAUAUAAUGUUUUCACGCAUCUUUUAUAAAUUUAUUGGGACACACUAUUUCUGCUAAUUGAAGAAAAUCAAGAAAUGCUGAUUCCGUCAUGGCUUAGUUUCAUGUUAAUGAAAGUUUAAAGCGAUCAGAUUCAUAUUCAUUAAUAUGAUUUUAUACGAAUCCCUGUGUUUGAAUAUAAUAAUGGUUUCAGAAAUGCAUACCUGUUAGUUCUCCAUUUCUUGACUCCGAGGAAAAUUUGACUUGACAGAUGAAGCAAUGUUAUAAGAGGUUUGAUUAUGGGUCAAUUUGUUGCAAGCAUUUCAACAGACGGGUGAUAUGCGUACACAGCUUCUACGCUACCAAUACCAUGCUUACCCCAUAGCUGCUUCCUGUUGUAAAACGUUGCUGACAUGUCAUCAUACUGGACAGACCUUCCGAGGUUAUUCUUCGAAGCGUUUCAUGAUGCCACGUGUACUUGAUUAUUUGACUAAUCACGGUUCACAAGUUGAGUGAGCUACUCACCAGUCACCAAACCACCUUCCUGC
rnacentral:lncRNA from 1 species